UAAUACGGGGGGUGCGAGCGUUGUCCGGAAUCACUGGGCGUAAAGGGCGCGUAGGUGGUCUGAUAAGGGUGUGGUGAAAGCCCGGGGCUCAACCCCGGGUCGGCCGUGCCGACUGUUAGACUAGAGUACUGUAGGGGCAGGCGGAAUUCCGGGUGUAGCGGUGGAAUGCGUAGAGAUCCGGAGGAAGACCGGUGGCGAAGGCGGCCUGCUGGGCAGUUACUGACACUGAGGCGCGACAGCGUGGGGAGCAAACAGGAUUAGAUACCCUGGUAGUCCACGCCGUAAACGAUGGGUACUAGGUGCCUGGGGGAGCGACCCCUUGGGUGCCGGCGCUAACGCAGGAAGUACCCCGCCUGGGGAGUACGGCCGCAAGGCUG
rnacentral:rRNA from 1 species